rnacentral:rRNA from 1 species
AACGACUYUYGGCAACGGAUAUCUCGGCUCACGCAUCGAUGAAGAACGUAGCAAAAUGCGAUACUUGGUGUGAAUUGCAGAAUCCCGUGAACCAUCGAGUUUUUGAACGCAAGUUGCGCCUGAGGCCUCCCGGCUGAGGGCACGUYUGCCUGGGCGUCACGC